UACGAAGGGUGCAAACGUUGCUCGAAAUUAUUGGGCGUAAAGCGCACGUAGGCGGCUUAGCAAGUUGGAUGUGAAAUCCCUCGGCUCAACCAAGGAAGUGCAUCCAAAACUGCUGAGCUUGAGUACUUAAGAGGAUCGCGGAAUUCCCGGUGUAGAGGUGAAAUUCGUAGAUAUGGGGAGGAACACCGGUGGCGAAGGCGGCCAUCUGGACGGUAACUGACGCUGAGACGCGAAAGCGUGGGGAGCAAACAGG
rnacentral:rRNA from 1 species